AGGAGACUUAUGAGAAGCUUGUUGAAGAUCUGAAUAGCCUACUCGAUUCCCAGGAUAACCUUCCAUAGGAAACUCAUAGCAUGGGAGAUCUGAAUGAUGGACAAGAGAAUUUGAAGAAUGAUGGACAAGCGAACAAUAGUAUCCAUGUGGAUAACAUCAAUAGAGAUCUAAAUGAAAAAUUGGUUGUAAGGGAUGCUGAGAUCAGAAAUUGAAGGAUGUUGUUGACCAGUUGAAGUUCAUUCAGGUUUCUCAAGGCAAUGUCAUUGGGAAUUUGAAGUUCAAUCAUCUUAAAG
rnacentral:lncRNA from 1 species